rnacentral:rRNA from 1 species
UACGUAGGUGGCAAGCGUUGUCCGGAUUUACUGGGCGUAAAGAGCGCGCAGGCGGUCGAUUUAGUCGCGUGUGAAAGCCCCCGGCUCAACUGGGGAGGGUCACGCGAUACUGAUCGACUCGAAGGCAGGAGAGGGUAGUGGAAUUCCCGGUGUAGUGGUGAAAUGCGUAGAUAUUGGGAGGAACACCAGUGGCGAAGGCGGCUCACUGGACUGGUACUGACGCUGAUGCGCGAAAGCGUGGGGAGCAAACAGG